rnacentral:rRNA from 1 species
GACGAACGCUGGCGGCGUGCUUAACACAUGCAAGUCGAACGGAAAGGCCCUGCUUUUGUGGGGUGCUCGAGUGGCGAACGGGUGAGUAACACGUGAGUAACCUGCCCUUGACUUUGGGAUAACUUCAGGAAACUGGGGCUAAUACCGGAUAGGAGCUCCUGCUGCAUGGUGGGGGUUGGAAAGUUUCGGCGGUUGGGGAUGGACUCGCGGCUUAUCAGCUUGUUGGUGGGGUAGUGGCUUACCAAGGCUUUGACGGGUAGCCGGCCUGAGAGGGUGACCGGCCACAUUGGGACUGAGAUACGGCCCAGACUCCUACGGGAGGCAGCAGUGGGGAAUAUUGCACAAUGGGCGGAAGCCUGAUGCAGCAACGCCGCGGGCGGGAUGACGGCCUUCGGGUGGUAAACCGCUUUCGCCUGUGACGAAGCGUGAGUGACGGUAAUGGGGAAAGAAGCACCGGCUAACUACGU